ensembl:lncRNA
GAGUCCGAGGGUCAGAGAAACCCCUGCUGUUCAAAAUCCUGAGACUAUUAGGGAAAUAAAUCUCAGUCAUGUCAACCACAUCAAGACCCUGAGCAACUGUUUUGCUCUUUCCUGGUCUCUGUCUCUUCGGCUGUAAAUUUUUUCAAGUAGAAAGGUAAAUUCAGUCCCUGUGACUCCAUCUUGUUCAGAACCGAAGUCCCACUGCUUCAUGGAUUACAGCAGAAUACAUGUUAAUUGAGAGGCGCUCUGAGUCAGCAGCUCUGCUAAGCAUCCUGCCAUCGUUUCAGAUCUUUACUCGAAUUGUGACAUUGAAGUUACUGGGACAGUUUGGGACUAUUCAGAGUAUGCUCCAUGGACAGCAUGAUCAUUAUCAUGACU